rnacentral:rRNA from 1 species
UACGAAGGGGGCUAGCGUUGCUCGGAAUCACUGGGCGUAAAGGGUGCGUAGGCGGUCGGGUAAGUCUGAUGUGAAAUCUCACAGCUUAACUGUGAAACUGCAUUGGAUACUAUUCGGCUAGAGAGUUGGAGGGGGGACUGGAAUUCUUGGUGUAGCAGUGAAAUGCGUAGAUAUCAAGAGGAACACCUGUGGCGAAAGCGGCGCACUGGACCACAACUGACGCUGAGGCGCGAAAGCUAGGGGAGCAAACAGG